UGAUGCAGCAUGCCGCGUGUAUGAGAAGGCCUUCGGGUUGUAAAGUACUUUCAGCGGGGAGGAAGGGAGUGAGGCUAAUAACCUUAUUCAUUGACGUUACCCGCAGAAGAAGCACCGGCUAACUCCGUGCCAGCAGCCGCGGUAAUACGGAGGGUGCAAGCGUUAAUCGGAAUUACUGGGCGUAAAGCGCACGCAGGCGGUCUGUCAAGUCGGAUGUGAAAUCCCCGGGCUCAACCCGGGAACUGCAUUCGAAACUGGCAGGCUAGAGUCUCGUAGAGGGGGGUAGAAUUCCAGGUGUAGCGGUGAAAUGCGUAGAGAUCUGGAGGAAUACCGGUGGCGAAGGCGGCCCCCUGGACGAAGACUGACGCUCAGGUGCGAAAGCGUGGGGAGCAAACA
rnacentral:rRNA from 1 species